GUAGUUUUUAAAUAAAAAUAAAAUGUGGUCAUAACUUUUACAUGAUUUAGCCUUGAAUGUCUUCCAGAAAGUUUGAAUAUGAAAUUAUAAUUUAAGUUAUUUCCCUUCCAGCAUUUGUUCAUUGCAAUGCCAACCAAGAGAUAUUCCCUGUUAAUGCUCAUUUAAUUCUUUGAAACAAAAUAAACAUUAACAAUUUAAAAUCAUUUGCAUUAUGACAAUUCUUUCAGUUUGUAUAGUAUCAGGAAAAUAGACAACAUUAUACAAUUCUAUUGAAGUACAACAAGCAAUGGCACAAUAUCAUUAACUUUGAAUAUUUUGAAAAAGAGUUGUCUCC
rnacentral:lncRNA from 1 species